CCAAAGCUGAAGGCCCCUCUUGGGGGUGGGUGCGGGCCGGAGGGGCCCGAUCCUUUCAGAGCCGGGCCGAGGUGAAGGAAAAGAAGGAAAGGGCACAAUCUGUCAGCAAAUCCUGCCUGCUGGGCCUUCUCAUCACAACCAGGGCCAAACCACUUCUCAGCGCCUCCGCUGCUUCCGCCCUCGUCUGAGCCUCCACCGCUCUCACCUGGGCGCCCUAUUUCCACCUUGUGCCUUCUGUCGAUUCCUCACUCACCAGCCCGAGGAAUCCUUGCACAGAAGUCAGAUCACAUUCCUUCCCUGUUGUCAAGGGAAGAAGACAAAUGGGCAUGAGAAGGAGAGGAUCAGGGGCUUGGAAGCCAAGAUUUUGCCAAUUUGACUUAUGCAACUUGGGCAAAAAAAAAAAUUGAGCCUCAGUCUUUUCAUCUGUGAAAUAGGGAUAACAAACUCUGAUACGAGGGGUCAGUAGUGACAAGGAUGUGAAAGCAGCCACGAUGGCAUGGCAGGGCCUAUCUGGAGUUUGGCCUUUGCAGGGGGGUAGAUGACACCCUUGUGUGUUCUAGGUCCUUUGAGAUACAUUAUCUCACUGAAGCCUCAGCAACUCCGCGGUGUUCCCAGAGGUGAGGAAACACACUGAGAGACAGAACACGACUUGACCAGGGCCACCCUGUGGGGCACGCUGGCACCUGCACAGCCCAGCUUCACCUGGUUCCAGCCCUGCCCGCGCUCUGCUCCCCACUUCCCGUAACCCUGGGCUGGCGUCAGCAGGCAGGCCUGCCAGGAGGCUGGAGCUGCCAACGACCUAUUUUUCUGGGCAAGAAGAGCCAUUUGGAGUUAGAGGUCUCAGCUGUGAAGCCAGAACAAUAAAAAUAAAAACAGCACGGACUCCUGGGCAGCCUGGACCAGGGAACCAACUGCCCCAAGAGUUGCUGCUCACCAGGCUGGAAGGCAAGUGGGGUUGGGGGGAUGGGAGAUGGGAGUGACCUUACCGAGCCCCUGCUAUGUCCUCCGGCCCUUACAGAGUAAGGGUAAUCUCCAAGGUUCACAACAGGCCCUUUGUCUGGGUGGCCAGACCAGUCAGGAUUUGAACUCAGUUUUCCAAACAGUAACAAUUCCCAUCUGUUCAGCAGCUACUAUGCUUUACAGACUUGUGACAUUCAUACCACACCUGGGGGGGUGAGCUAAUCAUUCCCUCAUUCUACAGAUGAGGCAGCUGAGACUUCAGGAGGCCUCUGCUCACACGCCACCUCCUUGAGAGGCCUUGCCAGACCACCCUGUUAAAGUAGUCACCCUCACGCCUGCCCAAUAUGCCCUACCCUCUUCCCUAUUUUAUCUUCAUAGCAUGCAUCACGACCUGCUAAUAUUGUGUGUCUCCACUGCAUUUUGUCUGUCUCCCUAACUAGCUCCAGGUCAGUUUAUCCUAGUGGCUUGCACUCCAGCGGUCUCUCAGACUAGCCCCGUGGGGCAAGUUAUUUUGAUGAUCUGUGCUUCCUUCGGGGUAAUGAUAGGACCUUACCUGAAAGGUUUCUUGUGAGGGUUAAAUGAGUUAAUAUCGGUUAAGUGUUGGCCGCUGCCAUUGUUUUGUCCCAGAGCUGUAGCUCCAGGGUCUUUAACAGUAAACAAUAGGUUGUCAAUAAAUAUGUAUUAAAUUUAAAAACUG
rnacentral:lncRNA from 1 species